AUGGGGCUGCCUGGUUUGUUAGGUAAUUUAUACUCCCGGGCCGAUAAUCACUUCCAAGGGAACUGGCGCUGUCGUGACCGUGGUCUCGUUAUACUGGUACCCACCUGUAUUGACAGGUCUGGAAGAGUUAAUAGACCGACGGCUAAGGCGGCUUCAUU
rnacentral:other from 1 species